AGAACGCUUACGCUGGGCCAAAUUCAGCCUGUGCCUCUCCACAGCCAAUCCUGCACUUGCCGGCCCCUAACUCUGUAGCUGCACACAGGGCCUGGGCACUUGAGACCUCAGACUCGCCACCGGCUCCUCAGAGCCCCUGCCCAGGUCACCUGUGUAAGGAGAACACAGUGCCAAUGCAGCACAGCAUAGUGACACCCGGCCUGCCGGGAUUUAGCCCCCACCCUACCUAGCGGUUCUGGAGCUGCCACUGUGACCCAUGCAGGGUCGAGCAUCCCAGCUUCUUGCAGAACUAUUGCUACAGGGCCAUCAGCAUGUGACACUAGGAGACUGUGCCAUGUCAUCCUUAUGUGGGUCUGGGUCACAGCCGCCCAUCUGCUGUGCUCCCUGGCUGCCUCUUUUGUGAAAAAGAAGGUGAGGAGGACCAGCGAGGAGACACGCCCACUCCAGGGGAACACCUCCUCCCACAGGCUCAUAGGAGGAAUGGACUUGCCUUGUCUCAGCUCGAAUUCUCUCUCCUGCCACCCUGAGAAGAGGUGCCUUCCACCAUGAUUGCACUCCCUCCAAGACAGACUUCUCUGUGGAAGCAGCAUAUUGGAGGCCUGCUAGGACAGUUCACAGGAAUGGCUGUGGAGGGCUGCAGGCAUGUCUCUAAUCAGAACCUGCUUGUCUUUUUGAUUGACAGCUGCACUUUCUCCACCAAGAAGUGGGUACUGUGCAAGUUAUGGUCAUAGUGAAGGUGGGGGACAUGGAGAUGAUCCCGAAUGAGCUGCAUAGGCCUCAUCGAAUCAGUGGAAAGCCUUGAGAACAGAGCCAAAGUUUCUCUGAGGAAGGGGAAAUUCUACCUGUAGACAGCAGCUUCAGUUCCUGCUGCAGUUUCCAGCCUGCCCUUCCUGAUGUCCUUCCCUGUGGAUUCCAGAUUUGCCAGCCAGUCCUCAUAGCCACAUAAGCCAAUUGCUUGUAAUAAAUCUCCUAGUGUUAAUGAUCCUUUAAUAAUAUACAUAUAAAUAAUAUAUCCUAGUAUUAAUAAAUCAAUCUCCCUCUCUCCAUCUCUCUCUCUCUCUCUCUCUCUCUCUCUCACACACACACACACACACACACACACACACACACACACGUCUUACUAGUUCUACUUCUCUGGUGGAACCUUGACUGAUAUAGAUGAGUAACCAGAAAAAAUUUAACGUGGAGAGGGGGCUUGACCAGAUGUUUUACCAAUCUGUAUAGACAACUUUCCAAAAUGUGGUCAGUCAGGACACAGUCAUCAGUAGUCUAAUCAGGUGGACUUAACUAUCUAAGGCCAAAGCACAGCCAGCCAGUGUCAUAGAUCUGGAUGGCACAAUCAGUAUAGCAGCUGUCCAGAACACAGCUGACCAGGCAGGAUGGAUUAAAGCCACAAUGUAGAAGACAAGAUGAAGACAGGCAAUUGUCCUGGACGUGGCUGUCCAAGAAGACAGUCAUGGGGGAAAUGGCCAGUGUUUCCCAGGAUCUGAGUGGCCAGUCCAUAGUCAUGAGGCUAAAACCAAAAAGGAUUCACUGUCCACGACACUAUGGCCAAGAACAUAGUUCUCAAGGGCAAAGCCAGUGUAGACAGAGCGGAUAGGACAUCAAUGACCAAGAACAAGUCCCAAGGAUGCACAGCCAAUGCCAACAUGUAGAUGGUUCUAAACUGUACAGGAUACUCAUGGCCAUGCAUAACCUUGAGGGAAGUGUCCUUGAGACAGCCACCAUGUGUACUUGUGCUAGAGGUAGGCUGUGGUUUAUUUUUCUCAUUUAUCCAAGAAGCUAUUUUUGUUCAUUAAAACCUAGUUACUUGCUGUAUCUAGCCAGGAUCCUGGAGUGCUCGCUUGGUUAAUUUAAGCAAGCAGAGCUUUGACAAAGUAAUUUUAUUGUCCUCUGGGAUUGGCCAGCUUAUGCCAAGCCUCACUCUUUCUGUUGAAAUGGAGUUAAUUUUCGCUGAAAUUGCUUCUUAGCAGACAAACAUAUUCCCCAUCAUUGAGGGCUUAUGCUUCUGCAGCUCUAUUAUUCCUUAAUUUACACACUCGGCAGCAUAGGAUCCAUGCCCAAGACAGACAGAGACUCCUGCAGGUGGAGGAAGGCGGAGAAGACGGCAGCCCCUGUUCAGCUCCUCAUACCUGGUUAGAAUUAGCCGUUAGCAAUUAGUCAUCAAUCAUCCAAUCAGUCUGUGCAGCCAGAGCCCCCAGUGUGCCCAGCUCUGUGCCAACCACAGCAAGAGGAUGCAAGGAGGAGGGGUUCCCUGUCUGAAGAACCCAGUUUAUUUGGGGAGGUGAGACUCAGACAUGGGACUCAGAAUUGACACAACACAAUAUUAGCUCAGACUUUGGCUCUGGUCCAAGACAUGGAAUAAUGGAGCGACUUGCUGAUGGGACAUGAAAAGAUGGAACGGUCUGAAAAAGAAGGAAAGAGAAUGGCCCUUGGAGGGGACCUGUCAUAGAGGAGCCCUGAAACUUCUGGUAAACCUUCAGGGAGGGGCUGCAAAAGUGGGCAGAAUAGGAUGGACUGGGUAAAUGGGUCUAGGAGGAGCACAGUGGCAAUCAGUGUUCUUCAGAGUAAGGAAGGACAGGAAGUGUUCAGGACAGGGCAAAGGCCAGGACUGGGGUCAAGACCAUGACAAUUAAGCCAGCAUCUGAGUCACUAUCAUUGCUGGCCUUAGAGUCAUGAAGGGCAUUCAAGGUGAGAUCAAGGCUAGAGGAAGGGCAGCUUGGCCCACAGCUGAUGUCAUGGCCAGCACCACGGAGAGCUCCCGUAGGUUCUGGUGCCUCCCACACCCAGUGGGCAUAAAUAUUCAGAUCCCAGUUGUAGAAGCAGAAAUAAGUAAGCCCAUGUUCUUUCAUUCAGCCUUGGCUAGGAAAUAUAACUGAAGCAGAAGACAUGGGCUUUGCCUAGCAGCUAAUGAAGAACCUUGAAAAAAAAAAGGGAGUCUGUUGACACAGAUGCUUUGAGAAGACAAGCAAUAAGCUAGCCAUUACAUCUUGUUAGAUGGAUUAGGAGAACACUGGGGAAUAUUUGCAUACCAAUUACCAUAAAAUUUGAGUUCAAUCUAUACUUAUUUUAUGACUUGCCUUCAGAAAGUUGAGUUUCUGUGUACAUCUGUUUGCUAAGAAGAUUCAUUUUCCUGUAAUAUUGAAAUUUUUGUCAUAAUAGUUUCAAAAAGUGUUGACUUGUAACAUUAACAUUGAAGAUUAAAAAUGUUUAUUAAAAAAAGCAUUUGUUAAAAUGUUUG
rnacentral:lncRNA from 10 species